GAAAGAUUAAAUUAAAAAUUAAGAAAAAUCGCAGAUCAGAGAGGAAAAAAGGAAGAAGAAGAAGAAGAAGGAGAAGAAACCCUAAUCGGCGAGGAGAGGGAGAGAGAGAGAGCACGAAAGCCAGAGGAAAAUGGGGAAGAAGAAGAAGAGAGUAUCGUCCAAGGUAUGGUGCUACUAUUGCGACAGAGAAUUCGACGACGAGAAGAUCCUGGUGCAGCACCAAAAGGCUAAGCACUUCAAGUGCCACGUCUGUCACAAGAAGCUCUCCACCGCCGGUGGUAUGGCCAUCCACGUUCUCCAGGUUCACAAGGAGUCCGUCACCAAGGUUCCCAAUGCUAAACCUGGCAGAGAAUCGACUGACAUUGAAAUUUAUGGAAUGCAAGGAAUACCACCUGAUGUACUGGCUGCCCACUACGGGGAAGACGAAGAAGAGGCCCCUUCAAAAGCAGCGAAAGUGGAUAUUCCAUCUACUCAGCUUGUGGGAGGAUUGGUGCCAGGGCCACUUGGUGUUGGAUAUCCUCCUCAAUCAACUUUAGGAGCAGUGCCGCCAGUUUACAGUGCUGCAGUGCCUGUACCUCCUACUGGUUGGGCAGUUCCUCCUCGUCCACAGCCUUGGUUCCCACAGCAUCCGGCAGUUUCAGUUCCUCCGUCGGCUCCUAUGGGAUAUGUGCAGCAGCCAUUAUUUCCAGUGCAAGGUGUGAGGCCUACUUUGCCAGUGGUUUCAACAUCACCUGCAGUCCAACCUUCACAAAUUGCUCCACCUGGAUUGUCAACAUCAACACCUCUACUUCCUGUAUCCCAACCCUUGUUCCCUGUUGUCAAUGACAAUGUACCUACACAGAGCUCACCAUUUUCUGCUUCUUUGCCAACAAGUGUUCAACCAAGCACUACUGCAGAAGUUAAAGGCUCAAUUGAAGUACAUUCGAGUGUUAAUACUUCUGUGCCAGGUGGAGCUGGAGCCAAUUCUCAUUCUUAUGCCUCUGGUCCAAAUACUGGUGGUCCAUCAAUUGGACCACCCCCUGUCAUUGCUAAUAAAGCUCCUGCUACACAGCCAGCUGUAAACGAGGUUUAUUUAGUUUGGGAUGAUGAGGCCAUGUCCAUGGAAGAGAGAAGAAUGUCCUUAGCCAAGUAUCAGGUGCAUGAUGAAACUAGCCAGGUAAGUCAUAACUACCUCUCUAGUAUGUGAGUUGGUUUGCGCAUCUAACCAGAUGGGUAGGCUUAUGCUUCAUGUUUUCAGAUUCAGUUGUUUACGCAUUGUUACCCAUUUGAUGAGGUAUUUUCAUAUGAAUUUUGUUUUAUUUAUUCCAUAUGAAAAAAGAACACAAUUUGUGAAGAAGUCAUGAGCCCUUUAAGCAAGUAUUCCCAUUGAUUGAUGGGCAUGCGCUUUUAUUUUAAAAUAUUAUUUCCCACUUUGCAAGCAAUUGCCUCCAAGUGUUUGGGCGUCAAAGAUUCAAGUAGGUAUUUACAUUAUUUUUGUUGGUAGUUGGUAAUUACAAUUUUGACAAGCUUGCUGCAGUACAUUCAAGGAUUUCUCCAAUCUAGCAUUGUACUUAGUUAAGAAUGUAUGUGAUCCUUUAAAAUUUGGAUAUAUUCAUUGUUGUUCAUUCUCCCUAUGCUUGAUUUGGAAGUGUGGGGUUUGGGUGGAACAAGAUGAUACCCAACAGAUUUUUGCUCAAUCGUAGCUUCAUUACAAUUUAUUUUAUUGAUCGUGAAUUCAGGCUUUUCCAGAUGAGCUCUAUUGAUGCAGCCAUAGACAGAAGGAUACUGGAAAGCAGGCUUGCUGGUCGAAUGGCAUUUUAGUUCCAACCAAGAGGGGAGGAAUGCAUCUUCAGAAAAUUUCAUGGAUGGAUUGGAAUGAGGGCCUGGGGUUGCUGCCCCCAAUUUCUCAUCAUUUUUCGGGGUCUGAAAACCUAAUGGGAUGUGUGAUUGUGUUGUAUUCUUUGCAAAAGCGAGGCAGAGGGGAGAAGAUAGUAAUUUUUUUUUAAAAAAAAAAAAAAUUCUGAGUUAAAACUCUAAAACUGUUAGGACUUAGCAUAAGGAUUUUAUUCCAAAGUUCCAUGCUAUGAGGAUAUUUAUAUGAGUUUAUAAUUAUAACCAUAUAAUUUUUUUUUUGUCAA